UACAGAGGGUGCGAACGUUGCUCGGAAUUACUGGGCGUAAAGCGCGUGUAGGCGGGUCGGCAAGUCAGGCGUGAAAUCCCCAGGCUCAACCUGGGAACUGCGCCUUGAAACUGCCGGUCUAGAGUAUCGGAGAGGGUGGCGGAAUUCCUGGUGGUAGAGGUGAAAUUCGUAGAUAUCAGGAGGAACACCGGUGGCGAAGGCGGCCACCUGGACGAUUACUGACGCUGAGACGCGAAAGCGUGGGGAGCAAACAGG
rnacentral:rRNA from 1 species